rnacentral:lncRNA from 1 species
UCGGGUCGAAGCACGACAUUCUUCCUGGAAUCGUCGAACAAGAACAGUGGCCCCGCGGGGAUGAAUCGAGGCCCGAGCUCGCUGGCCAUGAAAUCGAAGGUGGGCGCCUCGAGGUCGUAGAAGGAAUUGACGAGGACCCAGCGCGCGCGCUUCACGACGGGGGAGCGCUUGAUGCAAAUCUCCUUCAACACCUCCUGGCCCUCCGAGGCCAGCAGGCAAUCGGGCACAUCGGCCAGGCGGAGGGGCUUGACUCCUCGGACGUAAUCGAUGAUCACGGCAUUGGCCUCGUCGGGGGAAGCUUUCCCUGCGUCAACAGAGGAGGUUAAUUCCAAAGGGAAGAACAGGGGAAAUUUGAUGGUCCAAGGGAAGAACAGGGUAAAUACAAGGGAAGAAUAGGGGAAACGCUUAAUUCCAAGGGAAGAACAGGGGAAGAACGGAGAUUCGCACCUCUGCUAGGAAAGAUGUGAUCUUUCUCCAGAAGCUCUGGAAUGUGGUACUCAAAGCUCGUCCAUGCCGCGUUUCCCGACCAAAGAAUGAUCCUGGGGAUUCCAAACACAGCCGCCACAUCCUGGGUCCAAUCGCAGAUGUAAUCCGAGACGAUACAGCUGACCGGAUCGCCCUCCUCGCCGAGCUUGCGGAUCAAAUCCUCGAGGCCGCCGGGGAGCUCUCGCGCGGCUGCCGUGAACCAGUCCCCCACAUUUCCUGCGACGUUGGCGUCGACUCCUCGCGGGAGCUUCCACGAGAAUGGGAUGGAAUGGAGGCGCAGAGCUUCCAGCCCCGCCGGCGCCACCCAGUGCUUGACGAACUCGUCGUGGAGGCUGUCGAUAUUGACCCAGGAGAUUGUGAAGCUUGGAUCUUGGGCGAUGAACUUACAGAGAUGGAUCAUUGGGGAGAUAUGGCCUUGCGCGGGCGCUGGAAACGCCAAGACAUGGACCUUGCGAGAAGCCAUGGUUUCCUUGGCAGGGUUCAUCGGUAUUUAUUAGAAUGGUUUUCUUGGCGGGGAAGGCAACGGAUGUUUACACAAGUUGAUUUCUCGACAAAGAGAGAUUAGCAUAAGCGUUGUGAGAGGCAAUUCUGCUCUAGAACGAGACUCACAUUGACCCAAGUUGCAAUUCAUUACAGCUCCUGAAUUUGAACAAGCAAUGAUCCUAUGGAUAGCUGCCGCAUGAAUCUUGAGAAGGUGGCAAAAAUCUGUCCCUACACCUGGCGGCUGGGAAGCUUCCGGCCUUUGAGAAUAUGGUAAGAGCAUUUAACAUUGGAGCAAUCAGAUUCAUGAGUGCUGCUCUUGUCCACAAAAUGGCCGUGGCUAAGUCCAGCCUAAAAUAAGUGCAUGAUUAUCGAUCAAGAGAACGCUCGUUGUCUUCUCUUUGGCUGGAAAUGAUGCCUGGUCUGGGCAAAUGCAAGUUAGCAAAGAUUCCGAGCAACAAUACUGUACUCAAGCAUUUGUAGAGUUUUUUUUUGUAAACAUCGAAAAUCCCAAACGUUUUCAUGUAAGUUUUAAUUAACUAAGUCUUACAGUUCUUUUGCAUCUGCUUUUUUCCUCACCGAGAAAUGUUACAUAGAGCACAUAACUAAUGUCCAUUUGCUUUGAUUGUAACUUAUGGUCGGUCACUAGCAAUAGAGCAUUCUUGAACAAUUUUGUCAAGUAAUCUUUGUUUGUUUGCUCAGCCAUUUCCAACAUUAUCCAAAUCCCACGCACAAGCGUUUUACUUGACUAGCAUGUGUUUAUCUUCAGAACUGAUAGAUAGAAAGUUCUUAUCAAAGAAUGCAUCGUUCACUCACUUGCGAUCCAGCUUCAUAGCUUUGAGAUCUUCCAGCCAUCCCUGGAGGCCACAAAACGACUUCCCAUUCUCUUUGUCCAUAGCUUUCCUCGCAAGGAUCUUCAAGUUCUCCACUCUCUCCUUCAUCUUCUUCCCCUCCUCGCUAUCCAUCACCUUUCUUAUGCCGUCCUCGAUCUCUCCUCGCUCGAUCAAUCCCUGCACCACUGUCUUGGAGAAUCUAACCCCGAUCUUCCAGUCCUCCACUAUAAACUUACAGUUGGUGUUUUGCUCACCCCCGUAAGGCCACCCCAGCAUUGGAAUGCCAUUUGCGAUGCUCUCCUGGAUGGAAUUCCAUCCGCAGUGCGUGAGAAACGCUCCCAUGGAGGGAUGGGCGAGAACUCGAAGCUGUGGCGCCCAGGAAACGAUGAAUCCCUGGUUCUUGGUCCUCUCGCAAAACCGAUUGUAAGAUUCGUUCGAGUGACCACCCACCACCAGCUCAGGUCGAAUCACCCACAAGAAUGGCUUCUUCGAUGCCUCGAGAGCUCCCGCGAGCUCCUCGAAUUGCUCCUCGCUCAGCACCGCGAUGCUGCCAAAUGAGAUGUAGAGAACAGAUCCACGCUCCUGCGCAUCCAUCCAGUGAAGGCAAUCCUCGUUCUCGGGUCGAAGCACCACAUUCUUCCUGGAAUCGUCGAGCAAGAACAGUGGCCCCGCGGGGAUGAAUCGAGGCCCGAGCUCGCUGGCCAUGAAAUCAAAACUGGGCGCCUCUAGGUCGUAGAAGGAAUUGACGAGGACCCAGCGCGCGCGCUUCACGACGAAGGAGCGCUUGAUAGAAAUCUCCUUCCACACCUCGUCGCCC